rnacentral:rRNA from 1 species
CUACGUGCCAGCAGCCGCGGUAAUACGGGGGGUGCGAGCGUUAAUCGGAAUAACUGGGCGUAAAGGGCACGCAGGCGGUGACUUAAGUGAGAUGUGAAAGCCCCGAGCUUAACUUGGGAAUUGCAUUUCAUACUGGGUCGCUAGAGUACUUUAGGGAGGGGUAGAAUUCCACGUGUAGCGGUGAAAUGCGUAGAGAUGUGGAGGAAUACCGAAGGCGAAGGCAGCCCCUUGGGAAUGUACUGACGCUCAUGUGCGAAAGCGUGGGGAGCAAACAGGAUUAGAUACCCUGGUAGUCCACGCUGUAAACGAUGUCGAUUUGGGGAUUGGGCUUUGAGCUUGGUGCCCGUAGCUAACGUGAUAAAUCGACCGCCUGGGGAGUACGGCCGCAAGGUUAAAACUCAAAUGAAUUGACGGGGGCCCGCACAAGCGGUGGAGCAUGUGGUUUAAUUCGAUGCAACGCGAAGAACCUUACCUACUCUUGACAUCC